rnacentral:rRNA from 1 species
ACUCAAAGGAAUUGACGGGGGCCCGCACAAGCGGUGGAGUAUGUGGUUUAAUUCGACGCAACGCGAAGAACCUUACCAACCUUUGACAUGGGCGCUGCCGCCUUGGGAAACCAGGGCUUCAUUUAGUUGGGCGCCACACAGGUGCUGCAUGGCUGUCGUCAGCUCGUGUCGUGAGAUGUUGGGUUAAGUCCCGCAACGAGCGCAACCCUCGUCCUUAGUUGCUACCAUUCAGUUGAGCACUCUAAGGAUACUGCCGGCGUAAGCCGGAGGAAGGUGGGGAUGACGUCAAGUCCUCAUGGCCCUUACAGGUUGGGCUACACACGUACUACAAUGGCAAUUACAGAGGGAAGCUAGUCCGCAAGGACAUGCCGAUCCCAAAAGGUUGCCUCAGUUCAGAUUGUCCUCUGCAACUCGAGGGCAUGAAGUUGGAAUCGCUAGUAAUCGCGGAUCAGCAGGUCGCGGUGAAUACGUUCCCGGGCCUUGUACACACCGCCCGU